UUGAAAAAAUGAAUCCAUGGAAUACAAAUCCUAGAAUCAGACCUCAGUAUUCCAAUGGUUAUGCACAAGUCUUUCCACCAAAAUGACAUGUUGACACAAUCUUAAAGCUAAAAAAUGAAGGGAAUGGAAGGGGGGGGUGUUGUUCAAUCGCCUGCAUAAUCACUAACUCUGGAACAAAACUUUUUGUGAAGGUUCAUUGCCAAAGUUUUACCAAGACCACCGAAAUAUCACCUUGUUAAACCUUACCUUGAUGGGGGCAGACGCGGGGAUGCAAAUGGAUUACUUCAGUCAUUGCAAGCGCACCAGCAAACAUGAA
rnacentral:lncRNA from 1 species